AUGGGGAAAUGGGUAGGGGAUGGGGAUUCCACCUCAUCCCCGUCCUCUCCCCGAAUAAGAAAUUGGGUAAAAAAAUUUCUCCGUCUCUUCCCCGAAUAAGAAAUUGGGUAUGAAAUUAUCCUCAUACCAUCCCCGAAUGAGGAAAAUCCACGAGGGUACCCAUCCCCGCGGGGAUUUUUGUCAUCACUACUGUUUAAGUUGAUUGAGUGAUAAGUUAUGGUCACCUAAUUAUCAUUUUAUAAUUGAUUAAGCAUAGCCUCCGGAUAUCUAUUCAACCCUUACUUAAAAGGAUAAUAUUAAAACAAGCAAGAUUUUAUUGAUGUAACAAUUUGUCAUAUUUCUUCUUCAUAUAGUCCUACUAAAAAUCUAUCAUUAUGUUAGCUGAACCAAUCAAGCCGGUAAUCAGAAAAGAUUUUAAUUGAUCAGACUAGUUUCAGUUCAAAUUUAAUCAUUUUAAUUUUUUUUUUUGAAAAAAAAAUUGAUUAUUCAAUUGUUAUGAUAAGAUUUAUCCUUUUUCUUUUUAAUAAUUAUCUGUCAACUUAAGACUUUUGGAUCAAAUCGUUUAUUUAACAUAGAAUGAGUUAAAGUCUGAAAGUUUAAACAGUUUUUUUAACACUAAUUUGUAAAUAAGGUUCAAUUAUUUUUCAAUCUAUCUACGGGUUUCAAGUAAUUUGUCUAACACGUUGCUUCCAAACUAAAUGUUCAACCUCCCGAAACAAAUAAUUUCAAUGGAACACACAAAUUGUAAUAUAAUAUCCAUGUCCAUGUGAAGAAGUUGAAGCAAGUGAAUGAUAUUUUUACUUUUUCACAUAGCCUGGAAAAAGCAGUACAGGCAUUAUGCUUAUGCCCGGUAACCGGUUAAAACAAUAUAAUUGUAAACGAAAACCAGGCAUGCUGAUGGUAGUUCAAAAGCCUAAGCUUGUCAUACUUGUGGAUAUGGAUUCAAGUUCUUUCUGUAAUUAGGGAAAUGAUCGUUGCACCACUUCUGUUUUGUCUUAUGUUCAUCUAACCACCAUAAAAUUCUUACAUGUUUUCUGCACCACCUUUAUUUUUUAAUUUGUAUCAACUAGCCACUUUUGCAC
rnacentral:lncRNA from 1 species